UCAGCUUGUUGGUGAGGUAAUGGCUCACCAAGGCGUCGACGGGUAGCCGGCCUGAGAGGGUGACCGGCCACACUGGGACUGAGACACGGCCCAGACUCCUACGGGAGGCAGCAGUGGGGAAUAUUGCACAAUGGGCGCAAGCCUGAUGCAGCAACGCCGCGUGAGGGAUGACGGCCUUCGGGUUGUAAACCUCUUUUAGCAGGGAAGAAGCGAAAGUGACGGUACCUGCAGAAAAAGCGCCGGCUAACUACGUGCCAGCAGCCGCGGUAAUACGUAGGGCGCAAGCGUUAUCCGGAAUUAUUGGGCGUAAAGAGCUCGUAGGCGGUUUGUCGCGUCUGCUGUGAAAUCCCGAGGCUCAACCUCGGGCCUGCAGUGGGUACGGGCAGACUAGAGUGCGGUAGGGGAGAUUGGAAUUCCUGGUGUAGCGGUGGAAUGCGCAGAUAUCAGGAGGAACACCGAUGGCGAAGGCAGAUCUCUGGGCCGUAACUGACGCUGAGGAGCGAAAGGGUGGGGAGCAAACAGGCUUAGAUACCCUGGUAGUCCACCCCGUAAACGUUGGGAACUAGUUGUGGGGUCCAUUCCACGGAUUCCG
rnacentral:rRNA from 1 species